rnacentral:rRNA from 1 species
AGCGAACGCUGGCGGCAGGCCUAACACAUGCAAGUCGAACGGAUCCUUCGGGAUUAGUGGCGGACGGGUGAGUAACACGUGGGAACGUGCCCUUUGGUUCGGAACAACUCAGGGAAACUUGAGCUAAUACCGGAUGUGCCCUUCGGGGGAAAGAUUUAUCGCCAUUGGAGCGGCCCGCGUCUGAUUAGCUAGUUGGUGAGGUAAAGGCUCACCAAGGCGACGAUCAGUAGCUGGUCUGAGAGGAUGAUCAGCCACAUUGGGACUGAGACACGGCCCAAACUCCCACGGGAGGCAGCAGUGGGGAAUCUUGCGCAAUGGGCGAAAGCCUGACGCAGCCAUGCCGCGUGAAUGAUGAAGGUCUUAGGAUUGUAAAAUUCUUUCACCGGGGACGAUAAUGACGGUACCCGGAGAAGAAGCCCCGGCUAACUUCGUGCCAGCCGCCGCUGUAAUAC